rnacentral:rRNA from 1 species
GCGUGCUUAACACAUGCAAGUCGAACGAAGUGGCGAACGGGUGAGUAACACGUGAGUAACUGCCCUUGACUCUGGGAUAACCUCCGGAAACGGAAGCUAAUACCGGAUAAGGAUGGACUCGCGGCCUAUCAGGUAGUUGGUGAGGUAACGGCUCACCAAGCCUACGACGGGUAGCCGGCCUGAGAGGGGACCGGCCACACUGGGCUGAGACACGGCCCAGACUCCUACGGGAGGCAGCAGUGGGGAAUAUUGCACAAUGGGCGCAAGCCUGAUGCAGCAACGCCGCGUGAGGGAUGACGGCCUUCGGGUUGUAAACCUCUUUUAGUAGGGAAGCGGUACCUGCAGAAAAAGCACCGGCUAACUACGUGCCAGCAGCCGCGGUAAUACGUAGGGUGCGAGCGUUGUCCGGAAUUAUUGGGCGUAAAGAGCUCGUAGGCGGUCUGUCGCGUCUGCUGUGAAAACCCGAGGCUCAACCUCGGGCCUGCAGUGGGUACGGGCAGACUAGAGUGCGGUAGGGGAGAAUGGAAUUCCUGGUGUAGCGGUGGAAUGCGCAGAUAUC